rnacentral:misc_RNA from 1 species
GCUUUUCUGCGCCUGCCCCCAAUUGAUUUCAAUUGAGAGAGAGAAAAGGGGAGAAGGAGAGAACCCAGAAAGAAGAUACAAAAAGAGAAUCUAAUAGUUUAAGAAUUGAAAAAUCAGAAACAAGAGAAAAUCAGGAAACAUUAGCUUUACAUAAAUAGCAAAAACUCUCUCCCUCUGUGUAAAACAAAAUCUCCCUCCCUGCCUCUGCCUGGUUAUGUGUUCAG